rnacentral:rRNA from 1 species
AUACGUAGGGGGCGAGCGUUGUCCGGAAUGAUUGGGCGUAAAGGGCGCGUAGGCGGCCCGGUAAGUCUGGAGUGAAAGUCCUGUUUUUAAGAUGGGAAUUGCUUUGGAUACUGUCGGGCUUGAGUGCAGGAGAGGUAAGUGGAAUUCCCAGUGUAGCGGUGAAAUGCGUAGAGAUUGGGAGGAACACCAGUGGCGAAGGCGACUUACUGGACUGUAACUGACGCUGAGGCGCGAAAGUGUGGGGAGCAAACAGGAUUAGAUACCCUGGUAGUCCACACUGUAAACGAUGAAUACUAGGUGUGGGGGGACUGACCCCCUCCGUGCCGCAGUUAACACAAUAAGUAUUCCACCUGGGGAGUACGGCCGCAAGGUUGAAACUCAAAUGAAUUGACGGGG